CGGGCGUGCCUAACACAUGCAAGUCGAGCGCGAAAGGAGCAAUCCGAGUAGAGCGGCGCACGGGUGCGUAACACGUGGAUAAUCUGCCCUUGAAUUCGGGAUAACCUUCCGAAAGGUUGGCUAAUACCGGGUAAGCUCACGGUGACUUCGGUCGCUGUGGGAAAAGUAGACCUCUGUUUACAAGUUUACGUUUGAGGAUGAGUCCGCGGCCCAUCAGCUAGUUGGCGGGGUAAUGGCCCACCAAGGCUACGACGGGUAGCUGGUCUGAGAGGACGAUCAGCCACACUGGAACUGAGACACGGUCCAGACUCCUACGGGAGGCAGCAGUGGGGAAUUUUCCACAAUGGGCGAAAGCCUGAUGGAGCAACGCCGCGUGUGUGAUGAAGGUCUUCGGAUCGUAAAGCACUUUCGACCGGGACGAAAAACCUCUGGCUAACAUCCAGGGGCCUGACGGUACCGGGAGAAGAAGCACCGGCUAACUCUGUGCCAGCAGCCGCGGUAAUACAGAGGGUGCAAGCGUUGUUCGGAAUUAUUGGG
rnacentral:rRNA from 1 species